rnacentral:rRNA from 1 species
AGCAGUGGGGAAUUGUUCGCAAUGGGCGCAAGCCUGACGACGCAACGCCGCGUGGAGGAUGAAGGUCUUCGGAUUGUAAACUCCUGUCGAGUGGGAAGAACGAUUCGGGGGUGAAUACUCCCCGGAAUUGACGGUACCGCUAAAGGAAGCCCCGGCUAACUCCGUGCCAGCAGCCGCGGUAAUACGGGGGGGGCAAGCGUUGUUCGGAAUUACUGGGCGUAAAGGGCGCGUAGGCGGCCAACUAAGUCAGACGUGAAAUCCCCCGGCUCAACCUGGGAACUGCGUCUGAUACUGGAUGGCUUGAAUCCGGGAGAGGGAUGUAGAAUUCCAGGUGUAGCGGUGAAAUGCGUAGAUAUCUGGAGGAAUACCGGUGGCGAAGGCGGCAUCCUGGACCGACAUUGACGCUGAGGCGCGAAAGCUAGGGGAGCAAACGGGAUUAGAUACCCCUGU